rnacentral:rRNA from 1 species
UUAACCUGGAAUCAAAUAGGGAUACCCGCUGAACUUAAGCAUAUCAAAAGGCGGAGGAAUA